rnacentral:rRNA from 1 species
UACGUAGGGGGCGAGCGUUGUCCGGAGUUACUGGGCGUAAAGCGCACGCAGGCGGUCUGUUAAGUUUGGAGUGACAGUUGGUGGCUCAACCACCAAAGUGCUUUGAAAACUGAUAGACUUGAGGGCUUCAGAGGGACACGGAAUUCCGGGUGGAGUGGUGAAAUGCGUAGAGAUCCGGAGGAACACCAAAGGCGAAGGGCAGUGUCCCUGGGGAG